CAGAGCCAAGGCUUUCUUGGUGUAAAUUUUUUUCUCUUUUCUCUCUUUUCCAUGGCUACUGAUGAGAUUCCAAAAGGUGUACCAACAGUUGACACACCACCUUACUCCUCCAACACUAGGGAGACUUAAUGUUUACAUGGCAAUUUUGGUGUACCAGCAGUUCAUUACUUCUCCAAGCAUGAUACCAUCAAACUUGCUUCUCACAAUUUUCUUUUGUGGAAGCAUCAGCUUUUA
rnacentral:lncRNA from 1 species